UUCCGUUAAUUGAUUAUGACGUACUUGUACUGAUUGAGAUUUUAACACGAAGUGAGUGGCGAACGGGUGAGUAACACGUGGGUAACCUGCCCAGAAGUAGGGGAUAACACCUGGAAACAGAUGCUAAUACCGUAUAACAGAGAAAACCGCAUGGUUUUCUUUUAAAAGAUGGCUCUGCUAUCACUUCUGGAUGGACCCGCGGCGUAUUAGCUAGUUGGUGAGGUAAAGGCUCACCAAGGCAGUGAUACGUAGCCGACCUGAGAGGGUAAUCGGCCACAUUGGGACUGAGACACGGCCCAGACUCCUACGGGAGGCAGCAGUAGGGAAUCUUCCACAAUGGACGCAAGUCUGAUGGAGCAACGCCGCGUGAGUGAAGAAGGGUUUCGGCUCGUAAAGCUCUGUUGUUAAAGAAGAACGUGGGUAAGAGUAACUGUUUACCCAGUGACGGUAUUUAACCAGAAAGCCACGGCUAACUACGUGCCAGCAGCCGCGGUAAUACGUAGGUGGCAAGCGUUAUCCGGAUUUAUUGGGCGUAAAGCGAGCGCAGGCGGUCUUUUAAGUCUAAUGUGAAAGCCUUCGGCUCAACCGAAGAAGUGCAUUGGAAACUGGGAGACUUGAGUGCAGAAGAGGACAGUGGAACUCCAUGUGUAGCGGUGAAAUGCGUAGAUAUAUGGAAGAACACCAGUG
rnacentral:rRNA from 1 species